UCCCAUGCAUCUUGCGACCCGAGCAAUGCUUUCAUCCUUAUACUCCAAUUGUCGUAGUUAUCCUUGUUGAGUUGGGGGACUUGAAAAGGAAUCAUCCCACUUGCCAUUUUUCACAAGAAUCUUGGGGCUCUGAUACCAGUUUGUUGGAGGAAAGAUGGGUUUACUAACUUGGAUUAGCUAAGGCUUUUAAGAGGACAACACUAAUAGGAAGAAGGAAGUGAAAAAAGGAAACUUGUAUUUCUUAAAUUCAAGACUUUACACACCUUUUGGCUUG
rnacentral:lncRNA from 1 species